GGCACAGAAGUUCAUCACACCAUCACUACUCGUAUGGAGUUUAGUGAAAAGGAGGUUUUUGCUGUAGUGAUCUCGCCCUGGAUGCAUCACUUGAAGUCACUGCUGACAUAAUUCCAAUAGAAAUCUCAUCAAAACCAGCCACCCAAUUCAUCCACAAAUUCAAAUACACUCAUUAUCAAGUGAGGCGAAAGAACAUCAAGACCCAUCUCUUGCCCUUUCCCACUCCUUUCUUAACUAUAGACCACUCCACCCCGAGAUGUGUUGCUGGCAGCCAUAGGAAGCUGGGACAAGAGAAGCUGUCAAGAACAGCUCCCGAGAAAAUCAUGGACAUUUUUUCCAAUGAGAAAGAUGCAGAAAGGGCUAUUCUAUUUAAUAUGGGUAACAGAUAUAAAUCCCAUCAUAUUCCAGAAAGCUUCCCUGGUUCUCCCACUUCUGAA
rnacentral:lncRNA from 1 species